UACGUAGGGGGCAAGCGUUGUCCGGAUUUAUUGGGCGUAAAGAGCGUGUAGGCGGUUAGGUAGGUCCGUUGUGAAAACUCGAGGCUCAACCUCGAGACGCCGAUGGAAACCAUCUGACUAGAGUCCGGAAGAGGAGAGUGGAAUUCCCAGUGUAGUGGUGAAAUGCGCAGAUAUCGGGAGGAACACCGGUGGCGAAGGCGGUUCUCUGGGCCUGACCUGACGCUGAGGAGCGAAAGCGUGGGGAGCGAACAGG
rnacentral:rRNA from 1 species